UCAGAGAAAAAGCAGUGCCAAAGUAAGCAGUAGUCGGUUCUUUAAGUUGUUCUGCAAGUGUAGUUCUCGGGUAAGAAUAAAGUCAAGGAUCAGAAGGAACAGAAUCAUUAGAGUUCCCCGCCUAGGUAUUAUAGAUAUAAGUAACAAACCCGGCUCCGCUCGCUAACGCCAUAGAAGAAAGACUGGGCUAACGCACAACUACCAAAUAAGGAAUUGAGAAUUUGAUGCUAAACUAAACGAUCAGAAGCAGACGAAAGGCCUGCUCUUAAAG
rnacentral:lncRNA from 1 species